rnacentral:rRNA from 1 species
GACGAACGCUGGCGGCGUGCUUAACACAUGCAAGUCGAACGGAAAGGCCCUGCUUGCAGGGUACUCGAGUGGCGAACGGGUGAGUAACACGUGGGUGAUCUGCCCUGCACUUCGGGAUAAGCCUGGGAAACUGGGUCUAAUACCGGAUAGGAGCCAUUUUUAGUGUGAUGGUUGGAAAGUUUUUUCGGUGUAGGAUGAGCUCGCGGCCUAUCAGCUUGUUGGUGGGGUAAUGGCCUACCAAGGCGGCGACGGGUAGCCGGCCGGAGAGGGUGGGCGGCCACAUUGGGACUGAGAUACGGCCCAGACUCCGACGGGAGGCAGCAGGGGGGAAUAUUGCACAAUGGGCGCAAGCCUGAUGCAGCGACGCCGCGUGGGGGAUGACGGCCUUCGGGUUGUAAACUCCUUUCGCUAGGGACGAAGCUUUUUGUGACGGUACCUAGAGAAGAAGCACCGGCUAACUACGUG